GUGCUAGCUUUGGCAGCGCAUAUACUAAAAUUGAACAAUACAGAGAUGAUUAGCAUGGCCCCUGCGCAAGGAUGACACGCAAAUUCGUGAAGUAUUCCAUAUUUAA